GCGGGUUGGCCCAGGCCUCUCUGGCUGCCAAGGCAGGAGCGGUCCCCGUGUGCCACCUGGGUGUUGCUGGACCUUGGACAGUGUGGCCAGAGGAUCCGGAAGGGGUGAGUUCUGCUCCUGGCUCCCCUUGCUCCCAGACUGACCAGAGGUGAGGAAACCGGGGCGUGGAGAGGCUGUGUUACUUGCUCAAGGUCACAUUACUAGCAAGUUCCAGAUCAAGAUGCAUCCCCAGGCAGUCUGGCUCCAGACUCCGUGCAUUUACCUGCAGAACCCCUCUCCAGCCAGCAUCUGACCUGUGGCCCAGGAGUGUGCACCCUCUGGCAGGUGAGGGCUUGGAGCAGAGACCUGGCCAUUACAGGAAGCAGCCUGGAGCUAUGGACAGAACGGAGAGAGUGGGGGCCAGCGGCGCUGCUGCCUUCAGACACCGGUUGAUGAACCGUCCCAUGUGGUCCUGCCCAGGGAGUGGAGCCCAGCGCACAAGGCCUGGCAGGUUCAGACUUGGGUUUUCACCAAAUGCCCUACUGGCCCUGGGGCGCUGGCUUGGCCGAUCAAGAUAUUGCAGAUAAACAGGCCUCACCUGGUGGUGGGGCUGUUGCAUGGGGAGGCGUCAGGCUUUGUCUGUUGCGGUGACUCAGGGCAGGUUAUCACCCGGCGGCAGCCUUCACACCUCAUGCCCGUGGGCUCCAGGAUAGUCCCAGGAAGCAUCUGCAUCUGAGGUUGGCCCAGACCCACCCAGUGAGCCCGGCUUCUUGUAGAUGCCUUAUAAAGGAGUGCUAUCUUCCUGCACGCUUUGGAGAUAGGGCUGGGGGCACUUCGGAGACAGGGCUGGUUCAGAGAUAGGGCUGGGAUAGAGAUGUGGGCAAUGGGCAAGAGAAAGCGUUCAACCAGCCCAGUGGGGUAGACCAAGGAAAGUGGCCGUUUUCUGUGGGCUUACUAUGUGGAUCUCACUGGACUAAACACCUUUGCAUCUGAUUUCUUAAUUUCACAGUUCUGAGGGGUCGUUGUUAUUAUCUCCAUUUCACAGAAGAGGAAGUUGAGGCUCCGAGAGGUGAAGUGACUUGGCCAAGGUUUCAUGGCUUUGAAAUGCAUCUGGGGUUUAAGUCCAGGUUGUUCCUUGGCCAUUGACCGACUGACCUCUAGAUAUGUAAGGCUGCUCUCUCAAUCCCCACUCAGAUCCUACUGACUCCACAACCCAAGGCUUUACUGCCCUGCCCUCACGGGUCACGGCUGUGUAUACCUUGGUGGCAUAGGUCAGCAGGCACCUUGGACAGACCUGCCCAAGGGAGGAUGAUCUACAGGGACAGUGGCAUUUGAGCAGCUCAGUUGUAGAGAGAUCUGCAGCUGGCAAUCGUCAACACGCUGAUCCAAUCAUAUAACGAAUCUCUGGCCACCAGGCCAAGCAUCAUUUUAGUUGAGAUAACUAAAUAAGAACAAAAUUGUAUGUUUUUAUCUAGCUUGGAAGUAGUGAUUAUUUUGUUUUCCAGCUCAUUUUUAGCCUCAUAAAAGUAGUUUAAAAAUUACCAUUGUUGUGCCAGGUGCAGUGGCUCAUGCCUGUAAUCCCAGCACUUUGGGAGGCUGAGGUGGGCGAAUCACGAGGUCAGGAGAUCGAGACCAGCCUGGCAGACAUGGUGAAACCCCGUCUCAACUAAAAAUACAAAAAAAAAUUAGCCAGGUCUAGUGGUGCAUGCCUG
rnacentral:lncRNA from 1 species